GCAUAUCAAUAAGCGGAGGAAAAGAAACCAACAGGGAUUGCCCCAGUAACGGCGAGUGAAGCGGCAACAGCUCAAAUUUGAAAUCUGGCUUCGGCCCGAGUUGUAAUUUGUAGAGGAAGCUUUUGGUGCGGCACCUACUGAGUCCCCUGGAACGGGGCGCCAUAGAGGGUGAGAGCCCCGUAUAGUAGGACGCCUAGCCUGUGUAAAGCUCCUUCGACGAGUCGAGUAGUUUGGGAAUGCUGCUCUAAAUGGGAGGUAAAUUUCUUCUAAAGCUAAAUAUUGGCCAGAGACCGAUAGCGCACAAGUAGAGUGAUCGAAAGAUGAAAAGCACUUUGAAAAGAGGGUUAAACAGCACGUGAAAUUGUUGAAAGGGAAGCGCUUGUGACCAGACUUGCGCCGGGCGGAUCAUCCGGUGUUCUCACCGGUGCACUCCGCCCGGCUCAGGCCAGCAUCGGUUCUCGUGGGGGGAUAAAGGCUCUGGGAACGUGGCUCCUCCGGGAGUGUUAUAGCCCAGGGUGCAAUGCCCUCGUGGGGACCGAGGUUCGCGCAUCUGCAAGGAUG
rnacentral:rRNA from 1 species